rnacentral:tRNA from 1 species
ACGCGGGGUGGAGCAGCUUGGUAGCUCGUCGGGCUCAUAACCCGAAGGUCGUUGGUUCAAAUCCGGCCCCCGCNNN